rnacentral:tRNA from 1 species
GCGGAUGUAGCACAAUGGUUAGUGCGCCGGCUUCCCAAGCCGGACACACGGGUUCGAUUCCCGCCAUCCGCU